rnacentral:rRNA from 1 species
AUUGAACGCUGGCGGCAUGCUUUACACAUGCAAGUCGAACGGUAACAGGCCGCAAGGUGCUGACGAGUGGCGAACGGGUGAGUAAUGCAUCGGAACGUGCCCAGUCGUGGGGGAUAACGCAGCGAAAGCUGCGCUAAUACCGCAUACGAUCUAUGGAUGAAAGCGGGGGACCGUAAGGCCUCGCGCGAUUGGAGCGGCCGGUGUCAGAUUAGGUAGGUGGUGGGGUAAAGGCUCACCAAGCCAACGAUCUGUAGCUGGUCUGAGAGGACGACCAGCCACACUGGGACUGCGACACGGCCCAGACUCCUACGGGAGGCAGCAGUGGGGAAUUUUGGACAAUGGGCGCAAGCCUGAUUCAGCAAUGCCGCGUGCAGGAAGAAGGCCUUCGGGUUGUAAACUGCUUUUGUACGGAACGAAAAGGCUCUGGUUAAUACCUGGGGCUCAUGACGGUACCGUAAGAAUAAGCACCGGCUAACUACGUGCCAGCCGCCGCAGUAACAC